UCUCCGUAGGUGAACCUGCGGAGGGAUCAUUACAGAGUUUUUGCCCGCAAGGGUAGAUCUCCCACCCUAUGUUAUUCCUUCUCUGUUGCUUUGGCGGGCCGCCCGGCCUCGGUCAGGCCACCGGCUCCGGCUGGUGAGCGCCCGCCAGAGGACCCCAAACCCUAAAUGUCAGUGUCGUCUGAGUACUAUAUAAUAGUUAAAACUUUCAACAACGGAUCUCUUGGUUCUG
rnacentral:misc_RNA from 1 species